ACGCUCGACACCUACGGGAGGUAGCAGUCGGGAAUAUUGCGCAAUGGAGGAAACUCUGACGCAGUGACGCCGCGUAUAGGAAGAAGGUUUUCGGAUUGUAAACUAUUGUCGUUAGGGAAGAGAAAGGACAGUACCUAAGGAGGAAGCUCCGGCUAACUACGUGCCUAGCAGCCGCGGUAAUCUGAGGCGGGCUGGACAAGGC
rnacentral:rRNA from 1 species